UACGGGGGGGGCAAGCGUUGUUCGGAAUUACUGGGCGUAAAGGGUUCGUAGGUGGCCUGCUAAGUCAGACGUGAAAUCCCUCAGCUCAACUGGGGAACUGCGUCUGAUACUGGUUGGCUUGAGUGCAGGAGAGGAACGCGGAAUUCCAGGUGUAGCGGUGAAAUGCGUAGAUAUCUGGAGGAACACCGGUGGCGAAGGCGGCGUUCUGGACUGCAACUGACACUGAUGAACGAAAGCCAGGGGAGCAAACGGG
rnacentral:rRNA from 1 species